rnacentral:rRNA from 1 species
GAUGGGAUGGCGGCUGAUUAGGUAGUUGGUGAGGUAAUGGCUCACCAAGCCAAAGAUCAGUAGGGGUCGUGAGAGCGAUGACCUCCAGAAGGACACUGAGAUAAGGGUCCUAGCCCUAAGGGGUGCAGCAGGCGCGAAACCUCUACAAUGCACGCAAGUGUGAUAGGGAAACCCCUUGUGCUUAUCUAACGAUAGGCUUUUGUAAAACUUAGCGCGUUUUACGAAUAAGUGGUGGGCAAGACUGGUGCCAGCAGCCGCGGUAAUACCAGCGCCACAAGUGGAAAUCAUGUUUAUUGGGUCUAAAGUGUUCGUAGCCGGUGAAGUAAGUUUCUUGUGAAAGUUUUGUAGCUUAACUCAAAAUUUGCAAGAAAUACUGCUUGACUUGAGACCGGGAGAGGUGCAAGGUAUUAUUUGGGUAGCGGUAAAAUGCUAUAAUCCUUAUAAGACCAACUAAUGCGAAGGCAUUGUACUGGAACGGAUCUGACGGUGAGGAACGAGAGCUGGGGGAGCGAAC